rnacentral:rRNA from 1 species
UACGUAGGGGGCAAGCGUUGUCCGGAAUCACUGGGCGUAAAGCGCGCGCAGGCGGUCAUCUACGUCUGGGGUGAAAGCCCGGAGCUCAACUCCGGGAUUGCCUUGGAUACGGGAUGACUUGAGGAUCGGAGAGGCAAGGGGAAUUCCACGUGUAGCGGUGAAAUGCGUAGAGAUGUGGAGGAACACCGGUGGCGAAGGCGCCUUGCUGGCCGAUUUCUGACGCUGAGGAGCGAAAGCGUGGGGAGCGAACAGG